GUCCUCUUGAUUUAAAUUUGAGGUUUAACCUGCCCACUGAAAUAUUUAAAUGGCCGCAGUAAUUUGACUGUGCAAAGGUAGCAUAAUCAUUAGUUUUUUAAUUAAAAGCUUGUAUGAAGGGUUGGACGAGGUAAAAUCUGUCUCUAUUUAAUUUAUAAUAAAAUUUAAUUUUUAAGUUAAAAAGCUUAAAUAUUAUUAAAAGACGAGAAGACCCUAUAGAUCUUUAUAUUAUUUAAAUUAAUUUUAAUAAAGAAUUUUUAAUUUUUUAAUUUGAAUAAUAUUUUAUUGGGGUAAUAAAAAGAUUAAAUAAAUUCUUUUUAAAUUAUACAUUGAUGUAUGAAUAAGUGAUCCAAUUUUUUUGAUUAAAAGAUUAAGUUACCUUAGGGAUAACAGCGUAAUUUUUUUGAAGAGUUCAUAUCGAUAAAAAAGUUUGCGA
rnacentral:rRNA from 1 species